GAACCGGGCCGUUACUGGCGUUGAGGUGGAGCACCACCGGGGAGCGGCCCGACGACCGUCGAUGCCGUACGCCUGGGCGCCCCUU
rnacentral:ncRNA from 1 species